rnacentral:precursor_RNA from 14 species
CCAAAGAGCUUAUAUCUACCUGUUUGGAGUACAUACUUCUUUAUGUACCCAUAUGAACAUACAAUGCUAUGGAAUGUAAAGAAGUAUGUAUUUUUAUCAGGUACUGAACACCGGCCAAAGC